GAAGGAGGAAAAAGGAAAAAACCUUGUGCAGCCGCAGAGCAAAGAGUCCUGUUUGGUGACUAAAUGUGAUGAUAUUUUGUGUUGAAGUGUGAUAGAACUGUCGUUAGGAACGGAGUGUGAAGCGAAACUCACCUGGUAGCACCUGGUAGAAGUGAGACUGAUCACGGGAGCAAUUCGGACGAGUGUUUCCCGAUCUUUCUGGACUAUUCUGGCUGGUCUUUUGUGAGGGACGAGUUCUUCGGUUCAAUUGUGAUUCCACACUACCGCCACUGCCGUGGAGAGGCUCUUGGUUCAACUGCAACCCGCAUCACCGCCAUGCUGCAUGGAGGCUCUUGGUUCAACUGCGACCUGCAUCACCGCCAUGCUGCAUGGAGGCUCUUGGUUCAACGGGAUCACCGUGUGGAUACCAGUGUGGUAGGACAGGCUCAGUCCUGAGGAGUGACACCCUUUUAUUUGCACUUUAUUUUCUGAGAUCUCAGUAUUUAUUUUUUUUUUUAUUCAUUUUCUCUAUUUUUUUACAUUUUUGCUAAGAAAACUGAUUGAUAAAGGAAAAAAAACCCUGUUUUCUCAUUGGAGGACCCUGGAAGACAAUAAAUAAACUGAGUAAACAACGGAAAACCGGGAAUAAAAAGGACAAUUUAACACAUUAAAAGGGAAAGAAACAUUUUUUUACUUUUUUAUUUUUUUUGUCUUUAUUUUCUUAAUACACCGGUACCGGUCAGGUAAUUUUCAGUUCAUACUGUGAAUUUAAUUUCAUUUAAUGUGGAAAAAAUGCUCAAUGUGUGGAAACUGAACGUUCUAAGUUGUGUGAGUUCUAAGUGUUGUGUGAGUUGGAAAUCAGUUGCUUUAAUGCUCAGUGCUACCGCCAAUCUCCUUACCCGAACCUAAUGAAUAGACAGGACCUGAUAGAACCCGAGUAGACUGAGGAAAGGUUACACUUGCUUACUCUCAGACUGCAGGGUGGACAGAUGAAGGGACGGCAGGAUGGAGUGAUGAAGGGGAAGAGAGAUGCCAAGAGAGGGAACCAUGUGACGGCAGCAGCUCAAACAAGCUGCCUAAUUGGGCACAAGAGGCCUCACAAGUUUGGUGGCAGAACACUUCAAAAACACUUCUGAUAUAAACACAUCCAGGAGAGGCACAUAACGGGGCAAGGAUAAUUACACACGAUUGCAAACACACACAUUUACAAAUGCAAAACAGAGAGAUGAUGGAGUCAUAAACUGGGAUAUGAUUAAUUCUGUCAGAAACACAUGAAGCAGCACACACACACCCACGCACGCACACACACACACACACACACACACACACACAGGACUGUUAACAAAGUUCAAGGACGGUUAUACUGUAACAGAGGGAGAAAGAGGAUUUGUGUCUUUCAGUGACAUAUGCACGUACACACACACACACACACACACACACACACACACACAAACAGAGAGACAUGCAGGCUUAAUAUAAUAGGAGUCCCUUAGAUCUCAAAGCAGUUGCAUUAUUUAACAGCAGGACUAUGAUAGCCUCCAGUGUGUGUGUGUGUGUAUGUGUGUGUGUGUGUGUGUGUGAGACUCUCCCUUUCCAGCUAUAAAUACACCUGCAUCUGAGAAUCCCCCUGUUCUGUCUCUGUUUCCCUCUGUCUCUCCUUUCCUUUCAUUUCAUUUCCUUUCCAUCUCUCUUAAUCUGCACUGGAACUUUUGCACUACACAGUGAUUCAUCUACCAUUUGAAAUAUUUCCUGACUUCAACCUAAAUGGUACCUGGCGUGAAAGCAAAACUCAUUAUUAUAGGAAAGUACAGGGCGGGAAAAGCCUGCUGUUUUUUAUUAUUCAAAACCUGCCAUCAAAGUGAAAUGUAUGGUUUUGUCAUAUAAGGGGAGGUGUGACUUUACCUCUGUGUCCCCUAGAAUGGAUCGUCAGACCAUCAUUACAAGUGAUCCAAGAACUUUUAAGAGGUAAUGCUAUAAAAGCCAUAUCUACAGGAGUCAACAAAAUUAACUGUCGUACCUACAGUGUGUGAUAUCACUGCCAUAGUCGUACGCACAGUAGCCAGCUUGUAGAUAUGCAGUAGUUCUUGGACAGACCUACACUAUUUGGUCCUGUCUGUUAUGCUGUUAUGACAAGCAUGUCUGAACCAGCUGUGCCCCCUUGACUCCCAUGAACUUGCCUGUUCUGGCAAGCCGUGACGUUGAAAUCGCCAUUGUGUAAGGCUUAUGGGAAAUUCAUAAAGGCAUUAAAGGCUGCUAAAACAGUUAUACUAAACUAAGCACAAAACGUAAGGACAUUUUUGUUUGGUAGAUUAUUUCUUUGUUGUAACAAUGCUUCUUGGCUAUAAGUCUUAUACCGUUGGAAAGCCUGUUUAUUUCCCUUUUAAAUGGUCCCACAUUUGUAAGGGACAUGCAUUUGUGGGAUGAGCAGUAAAGCUGAGUAUGUGGGUUGCACCUGAAUAAUUUGUCAAAUCUUCUCUGCCAAUGCCAAACAGCUUUGUUUGCUGUUGACUCUUAUUUGGUGUUGUUUGGUGGAUUGGAUGACUGGAGUCUGAAGAAACAAGACAUAUUGGCUAUUUAACAAUUUAUUCAUUUAACAAACAGGAGCCUCAGUAGCAUGUGGAAGAACCAUACACAGCCACAACUGCCUGGCACCUCCUCCUCAUGCUGGUUACCAGCCUGGUCACACACUGCUGUGGGAUGGCAUCCCAUUCUUCAACCAGCAUUUGUCGCAAGACAGCCAGCGUGGUUGUGUUGGUCACUCUGGCAUGAACAGCACACCCAAGCUGAUCCCACAAGAGGUCAGGACUACUGGCGGGCCAUUCCAUCCUCUCCACUCCCAAAUUCUGGAGGUAGUCUCUGAUAAACCCCGCUCUGUGGGGGCGAGCGUUGUCAUCGUGUUUGGUCCCAGACUGUGGAGAUAUGGGAUUGCCACUGGUUGCAGAAUUUUAUCUCGAUAUCUCUCUGCAUUGAGAUUGCCUCCAAUGAUGACAAGCCUUGUUUUUCCAGUGAGGGAGAUGCUGCCCCACACCAUCACAAUGCCUCCACCAAAAGAUGUUAGUCGGUGCAGCAAUCAGCAAAGCGUUCUCCGUGUGUUCUCCACACUUUGACUCUACCUUCCAAACUGCCGUAGGCAGAGUCUGGACUCAUCGCUGAACAUAAUGUUCCUCCACAUUUUCAAGUUCCAGUGCAUGUGUUGCCGACACCAGCGCAAACAGGUCUGAUGGUGAAGGGCAGUCAUGGCAGGCCUCCUGGCAGCCCUAUGAGACCUGGGACUGGCUGUGUGUAUUCUGUUCUGGAUUGUCUGGGCAGAGAGACGUCAGCCAUAUCGUCCUGGAAACCUUGACUGCAAAUCUGUACAAGACUGCCAACGGUUCAAAGUGCUGACAGGAUGAGGAAACGGUCUUCUUGGGGUGCUGUCUUCUUGGGAUGCCCACUUUGCAGCCUGUCUCUGACACUCCCUGUUAUAUGGAGCUUGGCCUCCAGUUUGCAGAUGGUACUAGGGCUCACUCAAAAUAAUGCCACAACUUGGUUUUGCAGAACACCAGCUUGAAGUUGCACUAUUGCACAGGCCCUAUCCAGAUCCGUCAAACAUGGCAUGCCAAUUCUUGGAGCAGACACCUACUGACUGUAGCAUGGCCCAUGCUCACAGGUGCUGACAAUCAGGUGCACCUGGGGGUACCAGAAGCUCAAAACAAGAGUCAAUAGCAACAGCAACAAAAAAAAAGAAGCUGUUUGACAUUGGCAGAGAAGAUGUGACAAAUGUUUUAUGGGCGCAACCCACAUACUCAGUUCUGCUGCUCAUCCCACAAAUGCAUGUUCCUUACAAAUGUGGCCCCAUUUAAAAGGGAAAUAGACAGGCUUUCCAAAGGUAUAAGAUUCAUGCCAAGAAGCAUUUUUACAACAAAGAAAUAUUUUUUUUAUUCCAUGACUAUUUUGGUACAAACAUUAACCCACCAGUGUGCAGGUAGCCUUCCAGGAUUUUCUCGCCAAAUGGAAAAUUUACCCCAUUUGGCACUUGGCUAAUUUCCAACCCUGGUUGGAAAGGGGAGAUUCAAGACUUUGUAAUUAUAUCACUAUUGUUUUCAUACUCCCAAUAUUAAGUGUAAGACUUCACAUUACAUAAUGACUGUCACUGAGCCAUGACUGAGAAAAAUGCCUUAAAAGUUUGCAGUACGGUGGCUGCAAAAAUACUUGACAGAGCCUAUAGGCCUUCUAAACUGCAAGAACUGCAAACUAUACUGCAGGGGCUGUCCCGGGGUGAAAAAAUUGGACAGAAAAGCUUGGGGACACUUUGAUUUGGUAGCCAGCAUGGAAACGAAAACAAGCAUACCCAACAAGACUGAGAAGGAAGUUGAGAAAAUAUAUUUCAUGUCAGUAGAACUACGGUCUGUUUGACGAAGGAAGUUAGCAUACAGUUAGCAAUGGACUUCACUGACAAUAAUCACAACUUGGAUUAAUUUUGUGAAAAUCGUUUUGAUUAUUUUGAUCGUUUGUCCUUUACAGAAUAAAGGAAUGUAAAUAAUCGAACUGACACAUAUUUAGACUCUCUGACAGCUUCAACAGUAGGGAGUCACCACUGUUUUUCACAUAUCUCGUUUACCCGGUAAAUCGGAAUGAAUUAUACUUUGAUACUCAUUACACUUUCUGUAAAUUCAACUAAGCGAUGUAUUUGUGGAGAAUCUAACUGAGCUAACGAUGCGUAGCAUGCCUAUAUUGACAAAAGUUUAAACACUGUUGUUGUAUUUUAAUGUGCAUUGCUAAGCCGUUAAAAACUAACAUAAGUGGGGUGGGGUGUGAGAGGUUUUCAUAAGCCCCCUUUCCACCAACAUUUCCAGGAACUUUUCUUACCAGGAAUUUGUUUACCUGGGUAAAAGAAUUCCUGGUAAGCUGUGCGGUUUGCAUUUCCACCGCACCUCAAAGUUGCGGAAAAUUUAUUUAAAUUAGCGUGAUGACGUAGAUGAUGGGGUGAGUUCGUGUACAAAAAUCUCUAAAUGUUUAGAGUGGGUAAUUUUUUUCAUGUAAACGUGUACACGGGUUUCACCGCUGAGUGUGCCCUGUAUUUGGCUCCGCCAGCUUGGCUGGUUACGUGCUGGUAGAGAGUUGGAGCCAGCAGCUAAGUUUAAAAGUAUUUUAAAAUAAGGGUCAAACUAAGUUAGUCUACAUACAGACAGCUGUCAUUUGAGCUUAUUAGUAACAAUUGGCUAUCAGCUGAACUAGCGUGCUGUGUCCUUGUGUAAGACAUAACAUUAGUGUCGGUGGAUGAGAGACUGUGGGUGGAGCAUAUUGAAUAUCGCUGUCUACAUGUUUACAUGUUCAUGCUUGCUGAACACAUGUAUUGAUAAAUUAUUGGCUUCUUACUCCCUAAGGGUUAAUGUCACUUACAGUAACGAGUGUAGCUGCCGUCAACUGGAGUCAUUUUCAAGUUAUCUUCACUUUGUUUCCACCGCGGCCGCUCGGCUGUUCACCGGUUACCGUGUUGUGUCGGUGUGUGUGUGUGUGUGUGUGUGUGUGUGUGUGUGUGGAUGUGUGUGGAUGUGUGUAGAGGAGAUCAGCGCCGGCACAAAAGAACCGAUACCAUUAGCGCUGAUCAAUACUACGGUCUUUAAUAAUUUAGCUCUCUCUCUUUAGGCCUCUCAUGUCACUCUGGAACAAGCUGCCUGCUGACUUUGAGCACAACUGUGUCCACAUUUAAAAGCAAACUUAAUGUUCUCAUAUCUUCUUUUAUCUGUUGUUUUUCAUUGUAAAGCACUUUGAGUUUACGUGUAAUGAAAUGUGGUAUAUAAAUAAAAUUGCCAUUGCCAACUGAAAUCAGAUGUAAACCCAGUGUCCUGGUUUCUGCCUUGUUACUGUAACAUCAAGCCUUUCACUAAUUAUUUCAGGAAAACCAAGAGUGAUUGAGUGAGGGACAGUAGCACUCUCCAAGAGCACGGUGGUAAAGUGUUUGCUGCUAGCUUGUAAUCAUGGACUUGGUAAAUGGAUUUUCAUUAUUUCUAAAGCUUUUUUCUAGUCUUCUGACCAUUUGAAGCACUCUACAUGACAUGCCACAUUCACCCAUUCACACACUGGUGGUCCAGGCUACCAUACAAAUUACCACCUGCUCAUUAGUUAUACAUUCACAAACCAAUGGAACAGCCAUCAGGCGUGAUUUUGGGUUCAGUAUCAUGCCCAAGGAAACUUCGAAAUGCAAACUGGAGGAGCCGGACAUCAAACCACUAUUCUUCAAAUUAGUGGAUGACUUGCACUACCUCCUGAGCCACAGCUACUGUUACAUGCCUUUAAAUGCUUCGAAACUGGAUUUAUCCUCUGAAUUUGAGAGUUUGAGAAAAAAAAAUCAGACAAAGCCCCACAAUGACCAGAAAUUGAGAUCUUGACUUAAAUCCAAGUUUAUCUAGAAAUGAGUUUGCUACAUAGGGACUAUACUGAGUAUCAGAUUCUUUACCAUAUAUAAUUUUUUUUCAGUAUUGUAAGGACUGCACAUAUAUAAUUAUUUCCACUGUGGGAUCACUGUAUUAUUGCUACCAUUGUAUUUCAUAU